GACGAACGCUGGCGGCGUGCUUAACACAUGCAAGUCGAACGGAAAGGCCCCUUUUGGGGUACUCGCGUGGCUAACGGGUGAGUAACACGCAAGUAACCUGCCCUUGACUUCGUGAUGACUUCAGGAAACUGGCUGUAAUACCGGCCAGGAAUCCUUGCUGCAUGGUUGGGGUUGGAGAGCUUCGGCGGUUUUGGGUGGAGUUCCGGCCUAUCAGCUUGUUGGUGGGGGAGUGGCUUACCAAGGGUUUGACGGGUAGCCGGCCUGGGAGGGGGACCGGGCAAAAUGGGGCCUGAAAAAGGGCCAGAAUCCUAAGGGAGGCAGGAGGGGGGAAAAAUGGAAAAAGGGCGGAAGGCUGAUGCAGCAACGCCGCGGGCGGGAUGACGGGCUUCGGGUUGGAAACCGCCUUCAGCAGGGGCGAAGCUUGUGGUGACGGUACCUGCAGAAGAAGCACCGGCUAACUACGUG
rnacentral:rRNA from 1 species